UACGUAGGGGGCAAGCGUUGUCCGGAAUUAUUGGGCGUAAAGAGCGCGUAGGCGGUCUGAUAAGUCGGUUGUGAAAGUCGGGGGCUCAACCCUCGGAUGCCGAUCGAUACUGUCAGGCUGGAGUCCGGAAGAGGCGAGUGGAAUUCCUGGUGUAGCGGUGAAAUGCGCAGAUAUCAGGAGGAACACCAAUGGCGAAGGCAGCUCGCUGGGACGGUACUGACGCUGAGGCGCGAAAGCGUGGGGAGCAAACAGG
rnacentral:rRNA from 1 species